GGCUGGUCUGCAGGUAGUGAGUUAUCUCACUUGAUUGUUCACAGUCAGUUACAGAUUGAACUCCUUGUUCUACUACUUUCCUCCCUCCUCACUACUGCACUUGACUAGUCUUAA
rnacentral:Y_RNA from 1 species